CCCUCCCCAACGACUAGCAGAGGGAGGACGAGGAGCACGAAGGCGGCGGCAGCGGGGAGGAGCAGCAGCAGGGCAAGGCGUCUCCUCUCCUCCGACCACGCCGCCGUCCUGCGCGACGGCGAGUGGGCGCCCGCCCUCCCCGUCCGCGAGCUGGUCCCCGGGCACGGCGGCGGCUCCCGAGCCCUCCUGCUCCGACCCCGCAGAGUGCUCGAGUCUGGAGGGGCAGCAGACGGUGGUGGGCGCUUGCGCCGCCGCCAUCUCCUUCGUCCUGCCCGCCUGACCCCCGGCGCUCACUUCCCUAGCGUCGUCGCCGUCAUCCACAACCACCGCCACCGCGCCCCCACCCUCUCCCCGUCGCUGCAGGCCCCCACCUUCUCCCAAUCCCCUCACCCUUCUCUCCCGUGGCCAGUGGAUUCGCCCCUCGUGGGAUCGAUUCCUCCGAGCCAGCGGUCUGCAUGGCCGGACGGGAGCGGCGCGGCCCCCAUCGGUGCGUCGGUGGCGAUGGCCCUGCGGGUCGAGGCUGACCCCCAACGGCGCUGGCGCUGCGUCAAGCCGGCGCGUGCUUCUGCUCGCGGGACAACGUGGUUAAGCGGCGACGAGAUGCUCGUCCAUCUCCUCCUCACGGACCAAAUCGUCGAGGAUUCCUCAUCCAUCGACGCGCCCAAGACUGGUUCCUGAUGGUGCAGCCAACCUCUGUCUUCCUCCCCGACGGCGGCGUCGAACCAACACUGGGUUAUGCUACCCUUGGCCGUGGCCUAACACGUGCGGACUGAAGCGUUGGUCAGGCACCCACUGCUUGGCUGCACGUCUGGGUCAUCUCAGAUAAGCUAAUCUAUCUCUUCUUUAAAAUAAGAUCAUGUGCUUCUCUGAUCCGGUUGUAGUAAGUUGUACAAGGCCUUAGCUGGUUGUCAGGAGGAACCUUCACCUCAUGGCUAAAACUUGGAUAAAACUGUGGGCAUACAAAAUACAUCUUUGUUUUUGUUGCCUUAUAAACAUGGCUGUGAAAGAACCGAAUAUUGGAAAACAACUGUAUAUCAAUUCUCACUUACUCUGGUAUUUCUGAAAGUGAAAGGGGUGAAGGAUAGUGUAGUGAGCAGAGAACACACAGGUUAUGUUGAAAAUUUUGGUCGAUGUUACAGUCCAUUAGCUGGCAGAAAUAUAGCACAACUAGCAUGCCUAGAUGCACACAACGUUGAUGGUAAGAUAUGCUUGACAACUAACUAACAAAAUCAGAUUAUUCAUUUCAUAAAUGUAGAAAAAAAAUAAGUAUGGUCUUCACAACGUGUCUUCUUCUAUGAUUCGGUAACUUGCAUUCCAAUCUUAUUUGUCUUCUUCUCAUUGGGCAUGGUGUCUUUAGGUUAUCAAAGGGGAUUGUGUAUGGCUGUUGACAAUCCAGAUUGUGGGCAGCUAAGAGAUUGGAUAGAGCAUCCUGCAAGGUCUGUGAGGUGCAGAUGAUAUUUCAGUGCUCAGUGUGCAGCUUAUUUUGUAGACAUCGCGGUUUCAGUUUGCAAUAUUAGACCUACUUGUAUCAAGGACAAAGGGUAUGUGGAAGACUGGAUUUGAUAUUAUCAUGGAAUGAUAGCUAUUAGCGUGUUCCUGGCUCUCGUUUGCUGUUAUUCCUUCAUAAUUGCAACAAAUGGCCUAAGCGUUGGACCACCGGGUGGAUAGGGCAAGCGUGUGAUGUGCCAGGGCGUAAUCUGUGUCGCUGCUCCGCAUAGAGGAGCACACCAUCGAGAUGGCCCAAAAUGGAAACACCGUAGGCCACAACUCUGGUGGGGGCCUCCAUGGUUGCUGACGACCAGAUGCCACCAUGGUCUCCGACGUCGUCAUGGCCCUUGCCGCCAGCCCACAACACAGUGCCGAGCAGGGGGGUGUGGCCGGCGGUGGUCAUUGAUAUCUUCAGCAGCGUCGGGUGUUGGCCACUUGCGCUGGUGGCUUUCUCCCGCUUUUGGUGCGUCACAUCUUUGUUCAUUUCAUCCUUCCUGUUUAUUGGGUACCUCUGCUUCUAGAAACAAACCAAACCUAUUAUUUCUACUAAAUUAACUAUAUACUCCCUCCGUUCCUAAAUAUAGGUCUUUCUAGAGAUUUCGACAAGUGACUACAUACGAAGCAAAAUGAGUGAAUCUACACUCUAAAAUAUGUCUAUAUACAUCCAUAUGUGGUAGUUCAUUUGAAAUCUCUAGAAAGACUUAUAUUUAGGAAUGGAGGGAGUAUAUUUGUUCUGUCCAGGAAAAUGCAUAAGAGGAAUUUAAUGGUUCUUAUAUUUGCACAGCUACACUAACAUUGUCACAGAGCAAGCACAAAAGUCUAAAUUUUAUGGUUUCAUUUAGUUUUGGUCUUCAAAUUGGCACUAAGUGCUUGGAAUUGAGUCCAAGGACGAGUAGUCACACAAUGCAAAGUUUAGUUUUAAAAUAGUAAGAAUAUAUGAUUCAUUUUUCCUUUUUGAUAGGUCAAAUACAUAAUUUUACCCAGAUUUAUGUAAAUAGAUAAUUGAUGUCUUAUAGAUCUACUAUACCUCCAUAUUUUAUUGUAUUGCUACUGCUUUCCUUUAUUUUUCUAUCCUGCAUAUCCAAUAUACAACAUACAUAAUAAAUUUCCAGUCUCUAAAUCUGUAGACAGGAAAAAAAUAGCUAAACAUGAUUAUAAAGUUUUCGCUGUUUUUUGGCCUGAUGAAAUAUAAUAUCUGUUAUAGCUCUAAAUGCUUACUGUGCUCUUUAAACCUUUCAUGGGCAUUAUAAUUGAAAAGUAACCUAAAAUCCUUAAUUUCAUCGAGCUUGCUAUCUAAAAAAUGCUUAGAACUAUUGCUAAUAUACCAUCCUACGGGUGCUUAAAGAUCUACUUAUGAAUCAGCUGCAUUUUCCAAUAGGCCAACUCCUAAUCUACGGCUGUUUCGGCUGUUGGAUCAGAUAUGUUUAGUACAGAGUAACCGCAUCGAAUAAAUGUGUACAGAGCAUACAGAUUAAAUAUACUUUAUAAAUGAAUAUGGGGUAAGCAAUGUCGGUUAGGUAAUACUCCAUUCUUGCCCAGUGAAGGACAAGCUCGCUCUUGGGCUACCGCUAGGUGAUCUAAUUGACUCGGGGGUGUCUUUUCUCAAAAAAGAGAGGCUCAACCAUGAGAGCAUGAGAUCUUUGCACCUGUUUUUUGGUGCGUUUGUGCUUGUCGGCGGGACGGUGCAAGGCGCAACUCCGACGCGGUUCCUUGCCGGUUGGACGGCGUUCACGCGCAACCCCGGCGUGCACUGAGUACUGCCUCGGCUACAACCUCCCUCGGUGAGCUCCAUCUUCUUCCUGCUCCUCUGCUUCGGCUACUGUAUGGGACAUGGCCAUGGCUACAUUGAUCCAUACAUCCAUCUAGAAAUAAGAAUAGAAGCUCCUCAGGCCGCACCACAGCGAUUUGGGAUUCCUGGCCGUCGGAUCGGGUGGCUUGAUCGGAUCUGGGCCGUCGGAGCGACCCCUGUAACGACCUCGUCCGUCGGAUAAAAAAAAGUUACUGCUGGAAUGAAUAGUUACUCCCGUUUCGUGCCACCGCUCGUAAAUAGCCUGCCCCGCCGGGGGCAUUCUCGCCAUUUCGCUUUGUCUGUGGCGGUGGCGUUCGUGCUAGGGCGAUGAUGAUUAACUGUGGCUGGAAUGAGUGUGCCUUUGAGCAAUCAUGGCACCUAUGGGUAUCAAGUUGGAUCCUCCCUGUUGUCUCUAGAAUCCUUUUUGAUCCUGUGAUACCUAUUGAUCUGUCCUUGGAUGGUCAUUCUUGUUGAGUGAUAACCAGGGCAGCUCCAUUGUAUAAACAGAUUGAUCUGGUGAUAAGAGAUGAUGGGGGUAGGUUAUAUGAUCGAGAAAAGGCGAAUCUGAGCCCACUAUGCAAUGAACCCUAGACCCUUUUUUACUUGUAUAUCUAAAGGUGUUGCUUAUUUAUGCUCCAGUGUUUAUAGCCAUCUUCCAUAAAUCUGAGCCAUUGAGCGGACAUUUCCUUUUGUUUUCUUUGGUUUGUUCUGAAGCUUUCCCCAAUUCUAUCUGUCACCACUGCAUUUUGUGGAUCAUGCACCAGACUAAAUGUAAGUGAACUUUGAAGGAUGCAUGUUUUGUUAGCUUUGUAACUUAUUUCCUUGCUAAGUAAGCAUUUGGGGUUAAUUUGUUUUGUUGCCACCUUCUUUGUACAUAUAGUUUUGCAUCGAUUUGCCUUGCACUCUUCCCGACAAGCUUGUAAUAGUGUUGAACUUUGUUCAUUUAGGCAUAGCAACUAUUUGAAUUAUGAAAAUUUGCUACCAUUUGGUUACCACCGGAAGUUUGUCUAUUGAUAAAACAUGGUUCAGGAAGGCAUUUUGUCUUCUAUGUUUUUUUAAUAGAAUUCUGAUUUGGGGCAACGAUGAUUGACCACUGCUAAUAUAAGUACUUUCUUGAGCAAUCAAGCAAUUUGCUGAUAUAAAACAUGGUCCAGGAAGAACACGAAGAAUACAACUGGUUUCAUAUGUACUUUAUGCUCAUCCCUUUUAAUCUUCGAAUGAUAUAGGAGAUUCUGUUGGUGCUCUAUUAACAUGAUUGUUGUGUGCGUUUCUGUUACGUAAUAAUAUUGUUGACAAGAUAUUUUACGAUCGGAAGUUGCUGCCCGCCGGGUUGGUCUGCAAGAGGAUGCCUCACUCUCUCUCUUGCUGCGUAAUUAACAUGAAUUCAGCUAGGCGUUAAUGUGCAGUAAGAGGCAAGGUACCAUCUCUCUCUCUCUCUCUCUCUCUCUCUUCUCUGAUAUGAUCUAUUUAAGCUUCUAUGUCUUAAUCAGCAAUUAGAUUACCACAAAUUAGGUAUGCAUUUUGAGGUUAUAACGCUGCAUGGUUCUGAGUUUUAGAUUUAAUUAGUCACUGUUGAACUAUACAUAUUUUAGAUCUUGGUUCUACUUUUCAUUUCAGAAAAGUGUUUUCUUUUAAUUUAUAUUUAUUUUUUUAAGAAUGUGAUAUUUCCCUUCUAGGAAGAGUUGAUCUCAGCUUCUUCCAAGUAUAAUUUGACUAAAAAGUAAAAAGUGAGUGUCGUGUUUCUUAAAUGGUCACCAUAUUUUACUGUACUGUUUGUCAUGUGAAUAGAUGAAUGUGUAACUGAAUGUUCUUUUCUAUUCAUGGUUGAUUCACUGUUGAACUGUACAUAUUUAGGACGCUGUCAACCAAAGGCGAGAGCAGCUACAUCUGUUGUAUGCAUACUUGCAUUAUUGUUUUCCUUUGGACUGUGAUGUGAUGAAACCUGAUGUUAUUACUUCUCGUAUUUACGGGAAAUAGUACUAUAAUGUGCUUAUAGAGAGGGCAACACCAAGAAAGAUGAGCUAUAUUGAAAGGUGUAUGUUAAGCUCUAAAGGCAAGCACGGCCUUGACACUGGCGGCCGGACAACUCGAUCAUGGCGUCCACUCUAGCGUGCAGUUCAUCGGAGCCGUCACGCAGAUAGGUAUAUGUGUGCAUGCAGCCAGGCCUUAAAUCAAGUAAAUGGAGCAAAAACAAUUUGGGUUCCCAUUGAAGUGCAUAGAAUGCACAAUGCAUUAUGUGCCAUCGUAAGCAGUGCAUAUAAUAGCUACGAUUUGCUUGAUUUUGGUUCGUUUUAUCCCUCUGAAGAUUGAAUGACCUCUCUUCAGGUGUGCUUGGUCCGCAGUGACGACCUUUGGGCCAACAACACAUGGACAUUUUAGAGAUAAACUAUUGCAUCAGGUAUAGUGUAUUGCGGACAAGCCGGACAUUAGUGUCUAGGUAUUGAUAGUUUGAGAUAGAAAUGCCAAUAUGCAUCUUCAUUUAUACAGCAGCCCAUGCGUGUGGUUAGGGAUGUAAAUGGCAAAUAAAUGGUGUCCGCAAGUCCCGUUUGGUUAGCGUUGCCUAGCUUCAUAGUUCAUUUUUGCAGAAAAUAAAAUAAAAUUUUAAACUGUUCGAUUAUAUAGUGGGUUUAAACGGGAUUAAAUGGGACCCGGUUGACAUCCCUACGUGUGGUAAUAUUUGAGAACGCCAAAAGAUUAGGGGAGAAUGAAUAAACUUGCUGUUUUCUCUCUCUGUUGGCUGAUCGCGCAAUACAUGUUGGCCGAUUUUUUGGUUUCCUAUAUAUCGACAGAAUUGGGAACGCCAAAACUAUACAGAAAAUAAUGGGCUCACAGAGACACGUGCAAUUGGGCCUUGGUCAUUGGCCCAUCUCUUACAACUUACAAGCAAAUCUUUAUCUUCUCGUCUUCCUGCUCGUAACUUCCACCGAUUGAACGCCUUUAAAAAAAAACUUCCACCGAUUGAACGUACAGGUCUACACGAGACUAUGAGAGCUGCUCUCCUGCCCAUGGCAGCCAUUGGAAAAAGCAGUAGGGUACCCUAGGUCUUGAAAAUUUAGCCGGGGCGACCGACCCUACAUGACCCCACGCUAGAUCCGCCCUGCUAGGUUGGAUUGAAAUAUAAUUGCUUGGUAAAACUGAUGUCUAAAAAUAGUGCUUACUUCUUCUGCAAAGAAAAUGUUGUGCCACAUGCUCACCCAUGAGAACCAUCUAUUCAGCUAUUAUCUAAUUAAGCAUUGAACAAUUUGAUUAUGAUAUGCACUAAUGGUGGUCUUCUAACUGAAUGACAUUUGCAGAAAUUUGCUUGGCGAAGAUCUGGGACACUCGGGUACAUUAGACCCAUGAGGGUAAUUGAUUGUUUUCAUUUGAUUAUGAUGCAGGGCCUAGGAGAACCAUCUCUUUUUCAUUAUAUAAAUAGUAGUACAGAUCAUUCUUUACCUUUUUAUGUUAUUCUGUUGCUUUGGGCAUUUCCUGCUUCUAUUCUCUGCUGCUACUCUGUGUUAGAUGGUCAUUGGCCAUAUAAUGCCACUAGAUGUAGUGUCUGAUAGCAUCUUGUAUUGCUUCAGUUUUAAUCAAGUAAACUGGAGCAGGUAUCUGCCCUGUUCAAAUAGCAAUGAAAAUUGUUGUUUUUGUGUGCUGCAAAAUAUAGCUCAAAAUUUUCUCCUUUUUUGCCUUCAAAGGACCAAGCUCAUCUCAAAUUUGUGAGUUGCAUUGUACAGUUCAUAUUUAUUGAACUGUAUGCAGUUUGCAGCUGGAUCUCUUUGGUUUGUCAUCAUUUUCUAGGAAUUUAGUUAAAAUAAUAUAUCAAAGUUGUCAUGUUGGCGACAUGGCGUGACGAGCCAAAACUGCUUGAUGAAAUGUUGGUGUGUGCUUACCCAGAGGAGCACGGCUUUUGCUCUCGCCACUGUUGUGCUCCUCCUCUUCCUCCUUGGUGCUCGGCAGAAAGAUCUCAGGCUGCCAACACACAAAUAAAAUUGUGCAUCCUAUGAUUUUGUGAGCAUGGGGCUGAGCCAUGGAUGACCAGUGAGCAUGUAUAAUUGUAACAAGUUAAUUGCCCGUAGUUUGCCACUGGCAUAAUCGUAAACACAUGGUGGGUAUUUUAUUUCCUAUGCUCACUAUGGCAAUGUUCAGGCUGACAAAUGAAUGGCAAGUUCUUUAUGCCUAUAGAACUAUUACAUUAUAUUUUGGCUAUGAUGAGACACACCAUUGGCUCUCAUUGUGUACUUAUAUAUGUAGGCUGCUAUGCGACUAUUGUCAGUAGCUUUCUCUAUAAACGCCUUAGUUUUAAUGUUUUGUACUAUUCGGCUGCCCUCUAAUGUACUACCCAGUCUUCAAUCCCUUUCUAUAUAAAGGACUUGCUUCAAUCAUUAUGAAUGGUCUUUCGACUUGUGGAAUGUGUUGAUUUUUAUAUAAUGACUUGCUCUAUUCCUGAUCUAUGAUAAUGCAUUGCAUUUUUUUUCUAUUCCUUUGUGACAAACUUGAUCUCUUCAUAAGAUGAAAUAUUAGAUGAAUUGCUUUGGGCGUCGAACCGUGUGCUAAGGUACUGUUUUUGAUCUCGCGCCUGAACCAGGCAACGUGACGGAGGCCAUGCGCUCAAGUGGGAGGCGGAGCUUGCCUCCCCCAAUGACGACGGCUUCGACCCCAAGUGGAAGUGGGAGGCCAAGUCCAAGCCAUGCACCGCCGGCAAGGUUGAAACCAAGUGGGGCGCCGAGGAAGCCAACGAGGAUGACAAGAAGCCGGCAAGAAAGUGCGUCCAGAUCAAGGAGAUCCCCAUCGGCUGCGACAUCCAGAUCGAGGUACUCAGCAGAAAAGAUGAAAUUGUUGUGAUGAAAUAUGGGAUUUCCAGUACUCCAGUAGCUAAAUGAUGAAAUGUGGGAGUAGAUUCAAGAGGAAGAUUGCAGUAACUUACUCCAGUAGCUUAGAUGGAACUUCGCUGUUUUGGAAUUUCCAGUAGCUUAGGUAGUAGAUUUCCAAUAAAAUCUUGCCUGAGUGAUGUUUGCUUGGUUCCUAUGAAUCUUAAUCUUGGCUGUGUGUCUCUGAAUCUUAAUCUGAUGGGUGCUACUAUGGAUAAGGUUGGUUGUUGUUGAUUA